UACGUAGGGGGCAAGCGUUAUCCGGAUUUACUGGGUGUAAAGGGAGCGUAGGCGGCAAGGUAAGCCAGAAGUGAAAGCCCGCGGCUCAACUGCGGGACUGCUUUUGGAACUAUCUAGCUAGAUUGCAGGAGAGGUAAGUGGAAUUCCUAGUGUAGCGGUGAAAUGCGUAGAUAUUAGGAGGAACACCAGUGGCGAAAGCGGCUUACUGGACUGUAAAUGACGCUGAGGCUCGAAAGCGUGGGGAGCAAACAGG
rnacentral:rRNA from 1 species